GCAUUGCUGAGGGGUCCCACAAUAGAACGAAAUGGCCGUCCAAUGC
rnacentral:hammerhead_ribozyme from 1 species